rnacentral:rRNA from 1 species
UACGGGGGGGGCAAGCGUUGUUCGGAAUUACUGGGCGUAAAGGGCGCGUAGGCGGGUGGACAAGUCUCUCGUGAAAGCCCACGGCUCAACCGUGGAAUUGCGGGAGAUACUGACUGGCUUGAGUCCGGGAGAGGAGGGUGGAAUUCCCAGUGUAGCGGUGAAAUGCGUAGAUAUUGGGAGGAACACCGGUGGCGAAGGCGGCUCUCUGGACCGGUACUGACGCUGAGGCGCGAAAGUUAGGGGAGCAAACGGG